rnacentral:misc_RNA from 1 species
UCUCUCUCUCUCUCUCUUUCUGGUGUUAUUUUUUGCAUUUUGGCUUUGUCCCUCCAAUUGUGGUUGAAAAGGACUGCUUGUGCAUAUGUGCAUGUUUGGCAUGAUUUCUUGGGCCAAAUAUUUAGUGAUAACUUUCCGGAGGGAUAUUCAUGCUUAAAACUCUGAAACUAGCAUUGUGUAGUAGGCCUUAAAUGCAGUUAGGCAGUCUCAGAUCUAAGGUUGAAUCUGACAGAACUGAGCUUAUUCAAGUGUAUUCAAGUCUUUAAUGUUCUGAUACAUUGAUAGCAUGAAGUGGAAAUCUAAUAUAGGGAAGGAGUUGGGACUUAUAUUUUUCAGGAAGCGGCCUUGGCGGGUUUGGGUUGGAAUCUUGGAAAGGUGAUGUGAGAAACUUAUGUGGUUGGUACUAGGAGUUGAGACGGAAGGACUGAAGAACUGUAAAAUCUUUAUUUGCAUGAAAUUUGGAGACUUGUGAUGAUAACAGUGUGCCUUCAUGAAACUGUAUUUGAUAUUAUUGUACUUCCACAUGCCGUGGGGUAGUUUGGACUUUGCAGUGUUCAUGAAGACCCUAUAUUUGGUUACUUGAUUUGCUCUUAUGCCUUUCAGUUUCCUCCAUGACCAUUAGUCAUAUAGCUAGCGAACCCUAACCCUAACCAUAUUGCAUAAUAGACAAGAACAUUGAAAGGAGCAAACAAAGAGGAAAAACAAAAAGAAGCUGAAUUUUCUGGUUGCACAACUAGGAAAUUAACUACAAGUAAACUUGUAGUGAUGCGUCCCUCAUGGGUUCUGCAGGGAGGUCUUG